rnacentral:rRNA from 1 species
UACGUAGGGUGCAAGCGUUAAUCGGAAUUACUGGGCGUAAAGCGCGCGCAGGCGGUCGUGUAAGACAGAUGUGAAAUCCCCGGGCUCAACCUGGGAACUGCAUUUGUGACUGCACGGCUAGAGUGCGUCAGAGGGGGGUGGAACUCCACGUGUAGCAGUGAAAUGCGUAGAGAUGUGGAAGAACACCGAUGGCGAAGGCAGCCCCCUGGGAUGACACUGACGCUCAUGCUCGAAAGCGUGGGGAGCAAACAGG